rnacentral:rRNA from 1 species
UAUAUCAGUGAUUAUCUGUUUGAUUGUCUUCCCCAUUGGAUAACCGUGGGAAAUCUAGAGCUAAUACAUGCAGUUUAUUGACUUGUCGAAAGGCUUGCUCAAAGCAUUUAUUAGACUUAACCAUCUACUACGUGGCAACACGUGGUAAGGCGAAUCUAGAUAACUUUGCUGAUCGUAUGGCCUCGUGCCGACGACGUUUCAAUUGAGUUUCUGCCCUAUCAAUUUGUUGGUAAGGUAUUGGCUUACCAAGGUUGCAACGGGUAACGGGGAAUCAGGGUUCGAUUCCGGAGAGGGAGCCUGAGAAACGGCUACCACAUCCAAGGAAGGCAGCAGGCGCGCAAAUUACCCAAUCUAGACAGUAGGAGGUGGUGAAGAGAAGUACUGAGUGGUGGUCAAUGAUUACCAACUUGGAAUGAACGUAAUUUAAGCAAUUCGAUGAGUAACUACUGGAGGGCAAGUCCUGGUGCCAGCAGCCGCGGUAAUUCCAGCUCCAGUGGCGUGAUUUAAAGUUGCUGCGUUUAAAACGCUCGUAGUUGGAUCACGCAGUAGUAUUCAGUAAUUUAGGUCAAUGUAUGCUGACGAUGGCCCCCUGGGUUUAUUGGAUCUUCGUUGACUUAGAUGUUCACGCUGAAUGCUACUAUUUGCACACAAGUGUGGUAUUUGGCCUUUAGUGUGUUGAGUAUCAUGCCUUGUGGAGUGUGCCUUGAAUAAAACAGAGUGCUCAAAGCAGGCGAAAGCUUGAAUGUUAUAGCAUGGAACGAACAAACGUGUAUUUGUGUAUGUUCAGUAAUAAUUGGGGGCAACUUCAAUUGUUAUUGGCAUGCACAGCACCCACCAAAAUACGGAUGUUGGUUUUCGUAUCAGGUGAUGAUUAACAGGAGCGGUUGGGGGCAUUGGUAUUUGGCCGCGAGAGGUGAAAUUCUUGGACCGGCCAAGGACUAACAGAUGCGAAGGCGUUUGUCUAGACCGUUUCCAUUAAUCAAGAACGAAAGUGAGAGGUUCGAAGACGAUCAGAUACCGUCCUAGUUCUCACCUUAAACUAUGCCGACCUGGGAUCAGUUUAGUGAUUUGCAAGCACUAAGUUGGUCCCCCUGGGAAACCUCAAGUUUUUCGGUUACGGGGAGAGUAUGGUCGCAAGUCUGAAACUUAAAGGAAUUGACGGAAGGGCACCACCAGGGGUGGAGCCUGCGGCUUAAUUUGACUCAACACGGGGAAACUUACCUGGUCCGGACAUCGAAAGGAUAGACAGACUGAUAGAUCUUUCUUGAUGCGGUGAGUGGUGGUGCAUGGCCGUUCUUAGUUCGUGGAGUGAUCUGUCAGGUUGAUUCCGGUAACGAACGAGACCACCUUCUCCAUUUAAGAUACGGUAGUAAACGAUUGGGACGUGCUGUUUCGGCAGUAUAUUCUGAUUUUUGCAGGUAAAAUUGGCGAAUGACGAAGAUGCGAUGCGAGUAGGCAACUAUUUGUGUUGUAUCUUUGAAAGGAUAUGAUUUUCCCUACCGUUAUGCAGUGGUGGGCAAAACCUACACGCUGCCUUAUGGAGAGACAACAGGUAUAUAAAAGCCUGAGGAAGUGUGGCUAUAACAGGUCAGUGAUGCCCUUCGAUGUUCAGG